CAGGGAGUAAGAGGAAGAGAAUUUGGUGUCGUGCGCAGGGGGGACGAGAGGUGCACACCCAGAGAGGUCCUGAGUAGAAAGUUUUCCUUGGAUGUAAUAUGGGUAGCUUGACAGUCGCAGCAGCACAUUCCUUCUAGAACAUUCCGGGAUGCCCCCCUGGCUUUUGUCCACAGCGUAUCUUGACCGCCACAUCCUGUCCUGGUGUCCUGGCUGUAAGUGAGAACUUUUACCCUGCCUCUUGAUAAAAAAAAGUGAAAAAAGAUUGAGACAGUAGUUAAGGGGGGUACUUUCGUUUUUGUUAAUCAGAACUAAAUUUCCCGGCUCUGUCGUCUUCCUUCGCUGCUUCGCCGCUGGACUAGCCAGGUUUCACCCGUGCAACUCCGGAUCUGCGCCGGAGUGUUCCGUCACGAGAUGGUAAAACCGUUUUUUUAGCUGUUUGCUUUUACGCCCGUGAGCUUAUAGGCACUGCUGGCCAUCGACUCUCCUCUGAUGUUCAGCCAUACAUGAAGAAAGGGGCCGUCUCCCUCCUAAUAUAUUCCUCUGCCGAUAUUGUAUCGGAAAAAGAGAUGGAGGGCGGAUGAAAAAGAGAAUGUAAAUAACACCCUUUGGAGGCCGCCUGCUGCUGUAGUUUGCUUAUUGGAAGUCACGUGAUUCACCCGCAAUGCCCAGCGGGGCCUUUGAACCAGCAAUCUGUGAAAAAUCCUAUUGGAACCAUUGUGCUUGGGCUCUGUACCAUAACCUGCAGCACUGGAACAAUGCCGGACAGGAAGCCAUCUCUCCCAGCUCCGUGGAUCUAAUGUAAAUGGGGAAUCUUCCGGCCGAAAACACGGAGGAGCUCAGCCGGCUUCGUCUCCCCGCUUUCUUUCUUGCGUUCUUUCCCUUUUCCCUUCCUUUCCCCCUCAAGCCCGGCAUCUCGGACGGACAUUAUUUUCGCUGGGAAUUCGGAAAGCUUUUUCCCCGACUCUCCUGUGCGUUCAGCGACAGGACAGGACAUGAGAUCUUUCCCGAUUUUGGGGGUUUUCUCCCCUCCUUUGUAUUGGCUAAUGGGAGUCACCCCUUCAGCGGAGACUGUGCAUAUAGUUAAUUGGAGAUGCGACUGUCCACUUCCUGGAACAGACGUCAGCGCUAAAGGAACUGAGCACAUUAAAUGUCCAGAUGAUGAAGGUCACAAGAAUAGUCAGGAGUAAAUAACAUCAAGAAGACCAGUAAGAACUGGAAUAAGCACUGAGCUACAGAGGAAAUGGCGGAGGUGUCAUUUUACCUGGAAUGAACUAUCUUCAAUCAUCACUAGUUUCACUGGGAUCUAUUUUUUUUUCACCAGCUGAAACUGGAAAUGUAUGGAAGAAAACAACUGGAAAUGAUAAAGUAACUGAACCCCGCACUUCAGCAGAUCUCUUGUGUAUUACACAUAUUUCUUUCCACCACGUUACAGUCAUCAAUGGUGCUGACAGUAUCCUUUUUCUGGAAGAGUCCCCCCUCAUCUCCUUACAGUACUUGCAGCACCUCAGACAAACGUGUUAGUUUGUUAGUGAAAAAGCAAUCACUGAACACCGCUGAUAGGAAGGAGAUGGAACAGGCGAGCUCCUUUCGCUUUUUUUUUUUUUAACCAGGAUGAGAAGUUAUCGAAGUUCCGCAGCGGUAACGAGCGCGUCUGUAAAGAGUAGCCGAUCAAAACUGUGGGUGACAGUACUGUUUUCAGGACUUUAUAGCCCUGCCAACUAAAACAGACACCGGAGCGAGAAGACAGGAGACUUGUUAUACGGCUCCAUCUGUGCACACAAACCGGGCUCACAGAUGUUCAGCUUCUCUGUGGCCCCUGGUAUGGGGGCACAACAGCAGGACUUGCGUAACUGCAGGGUCAACCUGCGGAUUCUCAGUCAAGAGGCCCAUAAGGAUGAUGUCGUUCCUUUAGCUGCAAAUUAAAGCCUGAUUAGAGAAUACCGAAGUAAGCAAUGAAUACAGACAUGGGCAUUUUGUCACUCGGAAUCGGCAGAAUGCUGACACACAGCAGGAUAAUAAGAUGGAGAUUCCUUGUCUGUCAUUGCGCUCUUAUUGUGUGUAGGAACGACCAAGGUAUGGGAUUCUUAGCUAAUGAGGAAUACAACUGCAAAUUCCUCUAACGAACUCCAAUGUAAAGGAGAACCAAGGGAUCGACCUGGAUUUCUGCACUCUCCGCAUUUCAGAUUCCGCCCGGUCGGAAAGGAAAAGCGCUGACGUGCCUUAAUUAGGCGGGAAAGCCGCGUUUGCUGUGGAUUGUCGGCUAACCAGGUGCGACUCCAGUCGGCGAGAAGCGCCGCUCUCUCACGCUGUCAGCUGGGCUAAUUGACUUUCCAAGACAAGCCAUUCUGGCUGCUGUUAGCUUCUGUCGGCAUUUGUGCGAUUUUUCAUGAAAAUAUGUUCCUCUUUUGGUGUUCGAUUUUUUUUAAUGAUUUUGGGCGGCAUAUUUGCAGGUGUAUUUUUGACGGAAGGAAUAAACUAAACCACAAAACUUAAAACCUAACCAUGAAUAUCAUAUAUAACGUUAUUACCAAAAUAUGCCUCAUUUUGAGGAAAAGUUCUAUAUGAAGAUUCGAAAACGUCCCUGGUGUCACAAGAACCACAGAUGACAAGUUUCUUAUACCUAAAGAGAACAAUAUUCAGCUAAUCUACAAUGGAAAGAGAUUGAAGAUCUUUCUCCAAGGCUGCUGCACUCCAGCUUUGUCAUGGCAGGACAUCAUCAGCGUUUGAAAGUUUCAAGUACCCUGCCUUGUGAGAUACUCCAGUAUAAUAGUAUUGGCUAAUGUUCCAGGUGCAGUAAAGCAUGUGUCUCUGUUCGGCAGGGCUUAUCUUCGAUGAGAGCAUGAUUAAAAAUGAAUUGUAUGUGCUCUGUAAGUGAAUGAGACCAAACAGAUAUCAUAAUUAAACAAAUGGAAACUGUAAAACUGUGUGGGUUUGCGUCUGAGAGUAACUGAUUGUUAGAGCCCCAUCUUUAGCAUCUCUGAUAGAGUGGAGGCUGCAGUUAUUUCUCUGGGGGCCCUCGCAGACACAUUCGUGGACGCUGAAGACACUGACAACA